UUAGAUUUGUCUAGAUAUGAAUGUAUCUAGUCACAUUUUAGUAUUUAGAUACACUCAUUUCUAAACAAAUCUAAGACAAGAAUUUUGGAACGGAGGGAGUACUUU
rnacentral:pre_miRNA from 1 species